CAGUUCUCUCCUUUUCUAGUCAACCUGCUUGCCUUGCCCUGGACCACGUCUCCGUGACUCCUGUCUCUGCCAACAGGCUGUGGUGGUGCCCCACCUUUGCCCCAAGGGUCUCCCCUGUGACCUUCAGUUACUGAGCUGCACACGAAAGCUGAGGUAAACGAGGAAGCCAGGCCAGCUGCUGGAGAGACAAAUGCAGGGCUGGCUGAGACCAUGAGGCCUGUGGCAGAGGCCUUGAAGAGCCACUGAGCCGCCUGGAGGAGGGCACUGAUGUGAAAGCAGGAGCCCAAAAAGUUCAGGAGACAGUCUCCAAUCACAAGACAAGAGAAACUCUGGCAACUUCCCAAGACCUGUGGUCUCUGCACAUGAGAAGCCAGUGAUGACUGCCUCCGAGCAUUUUUAUCAUGACUUCAAAUGUAGACAGUGAAGAAAAUACAACACGGACAAUAGUUUUGAUGGUCCCAAAUUAAAACUU